GAUGGGCUCGCGGCCUAUCAGCUUGUUGGUGGGGUAAUGGCCUACCAAGGCGACGACGGGUAGCCGGCCUGAGAGGGCGACCGGCCACACUGGGACUGAGACACGGCCCAGACUCCUACGGGAGGCAGCAGUGGGGAAUAUUGCGCAAUGGGCGAAAGCCUGACGCAGCGACGCCGCGUGAGGGAUGAAGGCCUUCGGGUUGUAAACCUCUUUCAGCGCCGAAGAAGCGAAAGUGACGGUAGGCGCAGAAGAAGCACCGGCUAACUACGUGCCAGCAGCCGCGGUAAUACGUAGGGUGCAAGCGUUGUCCGGAAUUAUUGGGCGUAAAGAGCUCGUAGGCGGUUUGUCGCGUCUGCUGUGAAAACUCGGGGCUUAACCCCGGGCCUGCAGUGGGUACGGGCAGACUAGAGUGCGGUAGGGGAGACUGGAAUUCCUGGUGUAGCGGUGAAAUGCGCAGAUAUCAGGAGGAACACCGGUGGCGAAGGCGGGUCUCUGGGCCGUAACUGACGCUGAGGAGCGAAAGCGUGGGGAGCGAACAGGAUUAGAUACCCUGGUAGUCCACGCCGUAAACGUUGGGCGCUAGGUGU
rnacentral:rRNA from 1 species